GAUCUUUCCACUCCUCAUCCCACUUUCUAUCCUUUCUCCUAUCAUGACCAGAUCAGAAAAGUUUGAUGAUAUACUCCCAAUCAUCUUAUCAUAAAAAGGCGACUGGAGAGUAUCCAUAAACAUACCAACCAUUUCUCUUUCAGAUAAGGGAGGUUCCACUUGUGAUGCCAUUUCCCUCCACCGUUGUGCAUACUCUUUGAGAGAUUCAUU
rnacentral:lncRNA from 1 species